UGCAGGUGCACUAUCAAGACUUGCUGCAGUUCAUACAGAAAGCUGUACAAGACGACAAACAGCAAAGUGUUGAGGCAGAGAUCUGGGAUGUGUCAGUGACCAGUACUGACCUGGAAUCAGUGAGCGACAGAAGCGAAGCCAAUGCAGAACAAAAAGAAACAUGGCUUCAGAGGUUCCAGAAGAUGGAGAUGGCCUUAAAAAUGUGUGACACCCAAAACACAGGUCACUUGGACAGAGACCAAGCCAAACGCCUGCUACAGAACUACAGCCUCAUCUUUGAUCUGAAUCUGAGUCCUCUGAAGGUCAGCGAGGUCACGCGUAACACUCAGAGAGAGGGCAAAGUUCACCUCGCAUCAGCUCUGCAGAAACUGAAGGAACUACACACUGCUUAACCUUUCCUUAAACACAAGCAAAUGCUACAGAAUUCCAGCCAUCUUUAAUAAACACUGUCUG